rnacentral:lncRNA from 1 species
UGAGAUCUGAGGCAAAUUAAGUAAAUUGACUAAAGUUAUACAGACAACACACUGCCUGAUCAUGAACUGAAUUAUCUUUAAAAUUAUUAUUGGUACAUAAUCAAAGCAAAGUAUCACAAAGUUUCAGAAUUAUUCAAUAGAACGUAACACUUCUGGGGAAAUGCAUCUCGCUGAAAUGGAUAUUGUUGCUUUUUAAAAUUCAUAAAUCUGUGAAUGAUUAUAUCUUAUUGCUGGGACGGGAAGGAUUGAGCAUCAAUACCACUCUUAAGUUUUAGUUUUUAUAACUGUAUGGCCUUAGAAACGGUGUAUAAACAAGUACUAUACCUGGUAAUCCUAAUCCUACUGUAGCAACGUUGUAACUGAGCAGGGUCCUGUGAGGCUCCUGGGCACACAAGCCUUUCUGUGUCCUUCAUUUCCUGUUUUUAAGGAAUAAGCUUCAGUCUCCAUGACCUUCCCUGAGCUCCAAAGGGCGGUUGAUAAUCAGGGCAGGAAAGGGAUGCAGCGAUCAGGGAGCAGCAGUCGAGAGACAAUAAUGCAGCCUUGGGGCAGGGCCCUGGUUCCUCCUCAAGGAAUAUACAUAACAAUGUCUUGGAGCCUUUUUGCAGAACUAAAAUCCCCAACCAAGGGAAGAACUGCUUGAUGAAGGAGGACCUCCAGAACCAGUCCUGGGCUGCUAAUUAUUUCUCAGCUUUGAUCCUUAUCUGCAGCCUUAUUUUCCACUCCCCAAAGUAUAAAACCACCCCCUAAUCUCUCCCAAGGAGGGCACAGUCUUUAAGGCAUUGGUCUGCUGUGCCCUCCUUUACCUGGCAAAGCAAUAAAGCUCUCUUUUUCUCCUUCACCUAAAACUCUGUCUCCAAAUUUCCAUUCAGCAAUGGCAGACAGAAGCUGAGUUUCGGCAGCAAAAUUUGAGGGCUCAUCCAGGAUCUGCCUGUGGGCAGGCGGCCCCACAGUGCUCUUGGCUGGAUCAGACACUUUGAGGUUUCUCUCCACACCAGUCCCCCUAUAGGUUAGCAGAGGAUUGGAGGAAUCUUUUAGAGGCCAGACUGCUGAGAGUUUCCUGCCAUGGGGCCGGCCCUGAGCAGAGCUGACUGGCCAUCUUGGAAGUUGGAACUCCAGGGUGGAAGAGUGGUUGGUAGGCAGCUCUCACUGGCCUUGGGGGGACUCCUUCCUUUCCCUCUGCUCCUGCCGACCAGAACUUCCCACUUCAAGAAGACUUUUUGGGAAGAGGAAAAGUAGCAUCUGUGAUUUCGAGACACCUCUGCCAGCAUCUGGCAUCUUACUUGCUGUUGGAAGUCUGGCUUGACCCAAUGUGAGGCCCUCUUCUCCAUUCCAGAUCCAGGACACCAUUCCCUGAAGGAGCCAUCAGGGGCCUGUGGGAUAGAGGCCAUUGCCGGGGAUGCCCUGAUAGAGGUAAGUGAAGCCCCAGAAGAUCAGCUUUGUCCAGGGGGCCAGGGGUCCUCAGGAUUAUAACAGCAGUGGACCCAGGAUGCUUCCCGUCUGGGAUCAGGGACUAUGGAAAACAAUGGAGUAGGACUCCAGGGACCAACAGAAAGAAACAUUCUACUGGGAAACAUGAGCGGCAGUCCUGGGCCUUUCACAUGUCAUUUUUUUUUUCCACGGAUGAGUCACAUAUGUUAUUGAAGCAUCAGUUUUCUCAUCUUCAAAAUGGAGUCCGUACUUACCUUUUUGUCUCUCUUACCCUCCACAACACCACAGACUCCAACAGGCAGGGACUAUAUUUUAUUUUCAGCGUCCCAAUUACAUCCAGCUCAUGGUAUAUUACCUGGCACCUUGUAGCCACGAUAACUACUUGUUGAAAACUAAAGUGAGUGUAGGAGUUCCUGUCAUGGCUCAGUGGUUAAUGAACCUUACUAGUAUCUAUGAGGAGGUGGGCUCGAUCUCUGACCUUGUUCAGUGGGUUAAGGAUCUGGUGUUGCUGUGAGCUGUGGGGUAGGUCGUAAAUGCAACUCAGAUCCCCCGUUGUUGUGGCUGUGGUGUAGGCUGGCAUGUAGCUGUUUCGACCCCUAGCCUGGAAACCUCUAUAUGAUGUGGGUGCAGCCCCAAAAAGACCAAAACAAAUUAAAGUGAGUGUAACAUAAGAAAGCAUAGAUAUAAAUGUUUGUAAACUUCAGGUAUAACAACAAUGUUCUCACCACCUCCAAGAUUAGCAUCCGUUUCUAUGCUUAGCAGGCAUACAGUUUGUGUUGGCUGAUAGCCUCCACAUCCUCUGUGCAAUGUAGAGCAUAUUGUGAGGUUGUUUUCAUCAAAAAUACGGAAUAUUUUCAAGCAGGAGAGCACCUGUCCUGUGUCAGACCGUACCUAUAAAUCUCCAGGUUGUCUAAGGUCUGAUGGCAGGUAGGUAACAUGCAGGUCUCUACCUGCUCCCUCUGUACUCAGAGAACAUAUUGCUUAAGACGCUUUCCUGCUGAGCCUGAACGUGGCUUCCACAUUCUUCUCUCCUGCUGUAAAAAUAGGGCUGUCCUUAUCCUUCAACCCAAACAAAUAUCUCAAAGAAUUAUGAUUUGGUUUUGCUGCUAGGAAAAAAGAGAAAUAGCAAAGAGGGAAUGAAUCAAUCCAUCCAAGGGAGAUUACUGUUAAAUUGAUUAGAAACAAGCCCCACCCCCACCCCUGCAUAGAAAGGCCACACCCAGAACACCGGAUUCAACUGCUCUGUCUCGGUGAUGGGCUGCAUUUUUUUUUUUAAUAAUAUUUUAAAGCACUUUACAAACAUUUCUAAAUUGAUAUAAUGCCUUGGAACCAGUUUAGAACACAGCAACAAGAGUGAUUAAAAGGCCAGAAGAACUGAUUUAUAAUGAAAGAUAAAGAAUGGAAUAUGACCUGAAGUUUCCAUCUUGGCUCAAUGGUUAAUGAACCCGAUUAGUAUCCAUGAGGACGCCGGUUUGAUCCUUGGCCUUGGUCAGUGGGUUAAGGAUCUGGCAUUGCCAUGAGCUGUGGUGUAAGUCACAGAUGCCUCUUGGAUCCCACGUUGCUGUGGCUGUGGUGUAGGCCGGUGGCUGUAGCUCUGAUUUGACCCCUAGCCUGGAAACCUCUGUAUGCUGUGGGCGUGGCCCUAAAAAGCAAGAAAAAAAAAAAAAAAAGAAUAGAAUAUGACCUGAAAUUUGACCAAAGAUGCAUUGGCAGUUAUCUCAGCCACCUGUAAUUACCUGGCAGUGUGUGAACUCCAAAGUGAGAGAUGGAUUAUUGCAUUCUGCCAUUAGGGGUUUUAAAAGAGAAAGCUCAUUUCUUUUUUUUUUUUUUUUUUAAGGAGAAAAGUUUAGCCAGGCAGAUCGAUUCUCUAAGGGCUCAGAAAGCUGUAGACUCAAGGUUGCUGUAGGACCAAGAGAAUGACUCUCUUUUACCAUCAGGCGUAAAACCAAAGCCUUCUUCCAUCCACCCGCCUUCCCAUCCUCCCCUCUCUCACGGUCCAUUGGCAAUAGUUUAUGAUUUGGAGAGACUUUACUGUCUUUGUAUCUCUGGGAAUAAACUGAGGAUCUGCAGAAUCAACUUAAGGAAAAUUAAAGGCAUGAAUUCCUGUCUACAAGGAGCUAAUUUGGAGACUAAACAGGGACGGAGUUCCAUACUCUUCCUGUGUACCUACUAAAGGACUGAAUUCUUCUCAUUGGUACCUGGGGCCUGGGACCCUGGCCACAGGGAAGUUUCGGGAGUUGGGUUGUGUGGGGAAUGGUGGUGCCUAUUUUGAUCGGCUGUGGCCCAGUGGAAAUCAAUGAUACUGACCCAUGCAAAGCUGAACUUAAGAACUACUGGAAAAAUGAACACUUUCAAAUCCCAAAGCAUAGGGUCUGCAAAAGAGGUUAAUUUGGUGGAAUAAAUAGGUUCACAAGAAUAGGUGGAUCCAGAAGACAAGCUGAUGACUUAUAGGCAGAGGAGUGAGUCUUUGAAAAAGAGCUGUGGUCAUAGUGACAAGUGGAUGUUUGCUAUGGGGCUGUAAGGAGAGUGGGAGACACACACACCAGUAGAACCAGUAGACGAUUGAUUGAGCAGCUAAGGCUCAGUGCCGCUAUCAUGCACAAUGGCAGCAAGUCCCUUCUUAUAGUGUUUGGUGUGUGAUCGGUGUCCCUGGACUUAGGAGAGGCAGAAACACCUAAGGGGCUCUGACAGAGGGUUACGGGGGUGCAGAGGAGGAGCCAUGAUCUAUUCAGAAGCAUUUGGGAAGAGUUUCAGAGGACAUGACAUUUAUGCUAAUUCAUGAUGAUGCAGAAUUUACUAGGAAAAGAGAGAGGGAAACGAAUUCCAGACAGAGGACAAAACUACAAAUGUAAGGGGGUCUGGGGGAGCUGAGUUGCCCUGAGCACUGUCUGCAAGAUGGCAGGGGGAGGCAGGGGGGAGAUCUUGGAACAGCAUGUUGCUGGGAGGGCACCAUUCCCUGGGCACGGGGAAGUCAUGGAAGAGUUACGCAGGAAGCUAUUUGACGAGAGAAAGGUUAGGAAAGAUAGAGAGGGUGGAGGUGAGGUGAGGCUGGUGGCAGGGCACCAACUGGGAGGCUGCUGAAAUAGCCCAGGCAAGAAGGGUCUGACCAAUGUCACUGGGGUGGGAGGAAGGAUCGGCAGGGACGACCUCAUGGGUCUUUCCCUCACACCUUUGCCCACGUCUGCUUCCCUUCUGAUGAAUCAGGCCGGACGGCUCUUACAUUUAUGCGGUCGAGGUCACUGCUGGCUAGGGCAUGGAAAUACCUGGAAAUGUUUUAUUUUUAACUUGCUUGGGCACAGAGACUGACAAAUAUCUCGAACAACGGAACUUGGCAUGUCCUUCAUCAUCUGGCAAAAUGACUCUGCCUUAUUAAUAGCGGGAGCCGGCUCAUAACUCUUAGCCGCAUUUCUAACAAACCCUUUCCCUUUCUCUGGGGUUGAUAAAUUUGAUAAAAAUUUGGAGUGGUGCGGAAAGGUUAUGUGGAGCACAUUCCAUGUCCCGCAGGUUGAGAACCAGAUGGAUUUUCAGUCAUGGACUCUAAUAAUGUGUGAUAUUAUAGGGAGCAGAGUACACAAAAUAUUACAGCAAGUCCCAAGCACUAUACUUACCACAAUCUCCUGAGUUUACAGCCCUCCCACCAGAUACCUAAUAUAUAAGAUUGUGGUCCAGUGCUAUAAACGGGCUUAACACAGUCUAUUCUGAAAAACUGGUACUUCAAUAAAUAAGAUAAGUGGAGGAACCAGGAUAUAAGAAAACAUAUAAAAAACCUUUUGAAGGUCACCCAAGCCUGGGGAGAUAAAACUCAAUAGUUCAGGGACAGAAGCGAAAUGGAGUUUUCUUUGUUUUAGAUAGAAAAUUACAAGGCGCUGUUUGAGGUUAUAGCUGGAGCUGGAGUAGUCCCUUGCAAGAGUGCAAUUUAACAAGCCAGCUAGGAAUCUGACCCCAUGUGCCUAAAGGAAACAGAUAACUUUUGGUUGGCUCCUUACCGUGAUGAGAAAUGCCCCACUAGGAAGGGAAACUUCAGAGGGCAUGAAAAAUGGCCUGUGCCUUGUUUCGAGUGGUAAAUACAUCGGCAGAGUCCAACUGACAAAACUCAUCAAAUUGAACACCAAAGAUGGGGGCAUUUUACUGAUACCAACCCAUCGAGAAACAUAAACAAUUAAAAAAAAAAAA